rnacentral:rRNA from 1 species
GACGAACGCUGGCGGCGUGCCUAAUACAUGCAAGUCGAGCGAGACUCUUCGGAGUCUAGCGGCGGACGGGUGAGUAACACGUGGGCAACCUGCCUGUAAGACUGGGAUAACACCGGGAAACCGGUGCUAAUACCGGAUAAUCCUUUUCCUCUCAUGAGGAAAAGCUGAAAGUCGGUUUCGGCUGAUACUUACAGAUGGGCCCGCGGCGCAUUAGCUAGUUGGUGAGGUAGCGGCUCACCAAGGCGACGAUGCGUAGCCGACCUGAGAGGGUGAUCGGCCACACUGGGACUGAGACACGGCCCAGACUCCUACGGGAGGCAGCAGUAGGGAAUCUUCCACAAUGGACGAAAGUCUGAUGGAGCAACGCCGCGUGAGCGAUGAAGGCCUUCGGGUCGUAAAGCUCUGUUGUUAGGGAAGAACAAGUACCGGAGUAACUGCCGGUACCUUGACGGUACCUAACCAGAAAGCCACGGCUAACUACGUGCCAGCAGCCGCCGUAACAC